rnacentral:rRNA from 1 species
UUUUUGUUUAUAAUUUAAGGUUGAAUCUGCCCACUGAUUUUAUUAAAGGGCUGCAGUAUAUUGACUGUACAAAGGUAGCAUAAUCAUUAGUCUUUUAAUUGAAGACUUGUAUGAAGGAUUUGAUGAGAUAUUAACUGUCUCUUUAAUAUAAUUAAAAUUUAAUUUUUUAGUUAAAAAGCUAAAAUAAUUUUAAAAGACGAGAAGACCCUAUAGAGUUUUAUAUUUAGUUGAAUUAUGAGUAUAUGUUAAUUUAAAUUAAAAAAUUUAAUGAAAUAUUUUAUUGGGGUGAUAAAAAAAUUUAUUAAACUUUUUUUAAAAAUAAACAUUGAUUUAUGAUUAAUUGAUCCAUAAUUUAUGAUAAUAAGAAAAAAUUACCUUAGGGAUAACAGCGUAAUUUUUUUUUUUAGUACAUAUAAGAAAAAAAGUUUGCGACCUCGAUGUUGGAUUAAGAUAAAAUUUAAAUGUAGAAGUUUAAAAGUUUUGAUCUGUUCGAUCAUUAAAAUCUUACA